rnacentral:rRNA from 1 species
GUGGGGAAUCUUCCGCAAUGGACGAAAGUCUGACGGAGCAACGCCGCGUGAGUGAUGAAGGUCUUCGGAUUGUAAAGCUCUGUUAAUCGGGACGAAAGAGCCUAGUGUGAAUAAUGCUAGGAAGUGACGGUACCGGAAUAGAAAGCCACGGCUAACUACGUGCCAGCAGCCGCGGUAAUACGUAGGUGGCAAGCGUUGUCCGGAAUUAUUGGGCGUAAAGCGCGCGCAGGCGGAUCUGCCAGUCUGUCUUAAAAGUUCGGGGCUUAACCCCGUGAUGGGAUGGAAACUACAGAUCUAGAGUAUCGGAGAGGAAAGUGGAAUUCCUAGUGUAGCGGUGAAAUGCGUAGAUAUUAGGAAGAACACCAGUGGCGAAGGCGACUUUCUGGACGAAAACUGACGCUGAGGCGCGAAAGCCAGGGGAGCGAACGGGAUUAGAUACCCGGGUAGUCC